rnacentral:rRNA from 1 species
ACCUGCUCCCACCAUGCCACCCUGAACAUGCCCAAUCUCGGAAGCUAAGCAGGGUCGGGCCUGGUUAGUACUUGGAUGGGAGACCACCUAGGAAUACCAGGUGCUGUAGGUG